CUUCAAGCUCUCAUAGCCUGGGUAGUGCACGUAGCACUCGUACUCACAAUGUCCUUGCUCUUGGAGCCAUUCUCCUGCAACUGGAGAUGGUGGAGAACAGUAUGGCUGUGAGGAGGGACAUCUCCGUUACUCUCAUCUCUCCGUAUCCAGAGGCUGCGGGCAUCGAUGACAAAGAAGAUGCCGAGGGCAAAGAUGAGGACAGCAGCACAGCCCCUCACCACUGCCACCACCAGGUUCCCAC